AUACGUAGGUGGCAAGCGUUGUCCGGAUUUAUUGGGCGUAAAGCGCGCGCAGGCGGUCUUUUAAGUCUGAUGUGAAAUCUUACAGCUUAACUGUAAGCGGUCAUUGGAAACUGGGAGACUUGAGUGCAGAAGAGGAGAGUGGAAUUCCAUGUGUAGCGGUGAAAUGCGUAGAGAUAUGGAGGAACACCAGUGGCGAAGGCGACUCUCUGGUCUGUAACUGACGCUGAGGCGCGAAAGCGUGGGGAUCAAACAGGAUUAGAUACCCUGGUAGUCCACGCCGUAAACGAUGAGUGCUAGGUGUUAGGGGUUUCGAUACCCUUAGUGCCGCAGUUAACACAUUAAGCACUCCGCCUGGGGAGUACGGCCGCAAGGCUGAA
rnacentral:rRNA from 1 species